CGGCAGAGGGGGCGGGGUUUACCGAGCGGCGGAGGCGGGGCUUAUCGAGAGGCGGAGACGGGGCUAAUACCUCCCGAAGCCCCUGCUGUACAGGAAGAGGGAAAGAUGCUUCCCCAUCAGCCAACUGCAUCCACUGGAAAGAGGUAAGUGUGUGUGUGUGACUGUUUGCCUGUUUGUGUGACUGUCUGUCUGUGUGUGUGUGUGUGACUGUCUGUCCUUGUGUGUGUGUGUGUGUGUGACUGUCUGUCUCUGUGUGUGUGUGUGACUGUCUCUGUGUGUGACUGCCUGCCUGUGUGUGACUGUCUGUGUGUGUGACUGUCUGUCUGUGUGACUGCCCAUGUAUGUGACUGCCUGUGUGUGUGACUGUCUGUCUGUGUGACUGCCCGUGUGUGUGAGACUGCCUGUGUGUGUGAGACUGUCUGUCUGUGUGACUGUCUGUGUGUGUGACUGUCUGUCUGUG